GCCUGGGUGGCUCAGUGGGUUGGGCGUCUGACUGCAGCUCGGGUCAUGAUCUCAUGGGUUCGCGGGUUCGAGCCCCGCGUCGGGCU
rnacentral:tRNA from 1 species